CGAAUACAAAUAUUGAAACUUGAAUCGCCUAAUGAAGGGCUAAAUGAAAAUUCUAAGAAUGGGAUUGGACCAUUUUAGCUUUGACUGGGACCAAACCCGGCCAUGUUCUCGAUCACAGCUGCCACAGAAGACAGAGAGAUCUGCUGUUACUGUAAGUGCAAGCCUGUCGUGUGUUGUGUUAUGACCUAGUUUCUGCAGCGUCUGCUUCACCUAGUUGCUCUGAUCACUGAUGGAGACACUGCAGUGAGAUCAGAAGACGUUCACUCAACACAUGAACACAUGAACCUCAUCACUGAUUUAACAUCCAGAGCUGAAGGCCCUGAGAAAAUGUCACCAGCAUGAGUUAAAAAAACCAGAACUACAGCCAAGACCAGGAGUAAAAGAAAAACACGGGACACACAAACCGAAGGGAAGAGCGAGCAGAGCGAACAGCUCUAUAUGACACAUCACAAGGGAGUUCGGGACUCAUUUGUAUUAUAAAAGACUCUGAGGACACCUGAUAACUCAAUCAGAGGCAUGAUGGGAGAAAAUCUCACAGCGGUGAGUGGGAGGAAAAGAGAGCGAGGGUGCGAAAUCUCAUGAGGAAGGGAAAGAGAUUACACAAGAACUGGAACAGCAGAGGAAGACACAGAGGAAAUGUGCCGUUUAAAUCCAUUCAGAUAGACCAUUUAUCUCUCUCUGCAGCUGAACUGGAUCGUUCCAGAACCAAACCUGCAAACUCAAGCCAUGUGUGGUGUUUCCAACACACAUAACACCUUUAAAGUGAACAUUUAGGCA